rnacentral:lncRNA from 1 species
CGCCUCUCCAGGCUCAGCUCCCAUCAUCUCGUAGCAGAGCCCUGUGUCCGGGCCCGGUCAGGGGGGCAGCUGUCCUGGCCAUGGGCGUCUGGACCCUGGUGGAGAGAAGCGGCUACCUCAGCAUCCUGGCCUCCAGCACCUUCGCCGCCUCCGCCUACAUCCUCAUCCGGGCGGGUACUCUCGUCAUGGUCACCAGCUUCCUGGGCUACAGCACCAUCUCCCAGGAGCAGAAGGGCUGCCUCUCCAUGGCUGCAGUGGGUGUACCUGAUCACCGCCACCUCCAGCAGCACUGUUGCAAUGGGGCAGAUCUUACAGCUUCCACACCACCUCCCUCCAGUUCUUUGCAACCGAGGCUCCAUCCUGCACUGAUGGGCUGCCUAACGCAUCAGCCUCAACAAGCAUUUCCAGCACAUUCUCAGCAUUUCCUGCUCUGCUGGACACAAGCAGGGUGA